rnacentral:lncRNA from 1 species
UACUACUCCCUCCGUCCCUAUUUACUUGUCCAUAUUUCCUUUUUUGGUUGUCCCUAUUUAGUUGUCCAUUUUGACAAAUCAAGAAAGGACAACAAAUUUUUUCCUAUUAUACCCUUAUUUACACUUCUUGAAAAUUGUAAAAGUGUAUGUUGUUUCCCUCCAAUUUAUUUCACUUGAAUUCAAAUAAGUGGUUGUAAUUUUGAAGUGAAAAGUUGUCAUAAG